rnacentral:rRNA from 1 species
GACGAACGCUGGCGGCGUGCCUAACACAUGCAAGUCGAACGGUCCGGCACUCAACCGACCCUCAGUCUAGCUGUAGGUGAAGUUGAGUGCCGGAUAGUGGCGGACGGGUGAGUAACGCGUGGGCAACCAACCCUGUACAGUGGGAUAACACCGGGAAACCGGUGCUAAUACCGCAUGACACCUAGAUGGUGCAUACUGUUUAGGUUAAAGGAUUUAACCGGUACAGGACGGGCCCGCGUCCCAUUAGCUGGUUGGUGAGGUAACGGCUCACCAAGGCGACGAUGGGUAGCCGACCUGAGAGGGUGACCGGCCACACUGGGACUGAGACACGGCCCAGACUCCUACGGGAGGCAGCAGUGGGGAAUAUUGGUCAAUGGAGGAAACUCUGAACCAGCCAUGCCGCGUGGAGGAUGAAGGUCCUCUGGAUUGUAAACUCCUUUUAUAAAAGAAGAAACCCCAUUUUUCUAAAUGGGUUGACGGUACUUUAUGAAUAAGCACCGGCUAACUCCGUGCCAGCAGCCGCGGUAAACA